GAUGAAGAACGCAGCGAAAUGCGAUAAGUAAUGUGAAUUGCAGAAUUCAGUGAAUCAUCGAAUCUUUGAACGCACAUUGCGCCCCCUGGUAUUCCGGGGGGCAUGCCUGUUCGAGCGUCAUUUCACCACUCAAGCCUCGCUUGGUAUUGGCAACGCGGUCCGCCGCGUGCCUCAAAUCGACCGGCUGGGUCUUCUGUCCCCUAAGCGUUGUGGAAACUUUCGCUAAAGGGUGUUCGGGAGGCUACGCCGUAAAACAACCCCAUUUCUAAGGUUGACCUCGGAUCAGGUAGGGAUACCCGCUGAACUUAAGCAUAUCAAUAAGCGGAGGA
rnacentral:misc_RNA from 1 species